rnacentral:rRNA from 1 species
UACAGAGGUCUCAAGCGUUGUUCGGAUUCAUUGGGCGUAAAGGGUGCGUAGGCGGCGCGGUAAGUCGGGUGUGAAAGCCCCGGGCUUAACUUGGGAAUUGCGCUCGAAACUACGUGGCUAGAGUGUGGCAGAGGGAGGUGGAAUUCCACGUGUAGCGGUGAAAUGCGUAGAGAUGUGGAGGAACACCGAUGGCGAAGGCAGCCUCCUGGGCCAACACUGACGCUCAUGCACGAAAGCGUGGGGAGCAAACAGG